rnacentral:rRNA from 1 species
GACGAACGCUGGCGGCGUGCCUAACACAUGCAAGUCGAACGAGGUCCAUGGGAGCUUGCUCCCGGAAGACCUAGUGGCGAACGGGUGAGUAACACGUGAGAAACCUGCCCUGGAGUGGGGAAUAACUCGGGGAAACUCGAGCUAAUACCGCAUACCCUCGGAUGGUCGCAUGGCCGACCGAGGAAAGAUUUAUCGCUCUAGGAGGGUCUCGCGGCCUAUCAGCUAGUUGGUGGGGUAACGGCCUACCAAGGCAACGACGGGUAGCUGGUUUGAGAGAACGAUCAGCCACACUGGGACUGAGACACGGCCCAGACUCCUACGGGAGGCAGCAGUGGGGAAUCUUGCGCAAUGGGCGAAAGCCUGACGCAGCAACGCCGCGUGCGGGAUGACGGCCUUCGUGGUUGUAAACCGCUUUCAGCAGGGACGAAAAUGACGGUACCUGCAGAAGAAGCCCCGGCUAACUACGUGCCAGCCGCCGCAGUAAUAC